rnacentral:rRNA from 1 species
GCAGUAGGAUAGGCGAAGCGUGCGAUUGGAUUGCACGUCUAAGCAGUAAGGCUGAGUAUUAGGCAAAUCCGGUACUCGUUAAGGCUGAGCUGUGAUGGGGAGAAGACAUUGAGUCUUCGAGUCGUUGAUUUCACACUGCCGAGAAAAGCCUCUAGAUAGAAAAUAGGUGCCCGUACCGCAAACCGACACAGGUAGUCAAGAUGAGAAUUCUAAGGUGAGCGAGCGAACUCUCGUUAAGGAACUCGGCAAAAUGACCCCGUAACUUCGGGAGAAGGGGUGCUCUUUAGGGUUAACGCCCAGAAGAGCCGCAGUGAAUAGGCCCAAGCGACUGUUUAUCAAAAACACAGGUCUCUGCUAAACCGUAAGGUGAUGUAUAGGGGCUGACGCCUGCCCGGUGCUGGAAGGUUAAGAGGAGUGGUUAGCUUCUGCGAAGCUACGAAUCGAAGCCCCAGUAAACGGCGGCCGUAACUAUAACGGUCCUAAGGUAGCGAAAUUCCUUGUCGGGUAAGUUCCGACCCGCACGAAAGGCGUAACGAUUUGGGCACUGUCUCAACGAGAGACUCGGUGAAAUCAUAGUACCUGUGAAGAUGCAGGUUACCCGCGACAGGACGGAAAGACCCCGUGGAGCUUUACUGUAGCCUGAUAUUGAAAUUCGGCACAGCUUGUACAGGAUAGGUAGGAGCCUUUGAAACGUGAGCGCUAGCUUACGUGGAGGCGCUGGUGGGAUACUACCCUAGCUGUGUUGGCUUUCUAACCCGCACCACUUAUCGUGGUGGGAGACAGUGUCAGGCGGGCAGUUUGACUGGGGCGGUCGCCUCCUAAAAGGUAACGGAGGCGCUCAAAGGUUCCCUCAGAAUGGUUGGAAAUCAUUCAUAGAGUGUAAAGGCAUAAGGGAGCUUGACUGCGAGACCUACAAGUCGAGCAGGGUCGAAAGACGGACUUAGUGAUCCGGUGGUUCCGCAUGGAAGGGCCAUCGCUCAACGGAUAAAAGCUACCCCGGGGAUAACAGGCUUAUCUCCCCCAAGAGUUCACAUCGACGGGGAGGUUUGGCACCUCGAUGUCGGCUCAUCGCAUCCUGGGGCUGUAGUCGGUCCCAAGGGUUGGGCUGUUCGCCCAUUAAAGCGGUACGCGAGCUGGGUUCAGAACGUCGUGAGACAGUUCGGUCCCUAUCCGUCGUGGGCGUAGGAAAUUUGAGAGGAGCUGUCCUUAGUACGAGAGGACCGGGAUGGACAUACCUCUGGUGUACCAGUUGUCGUGCCAACGGCAUAGCUGGGUAGCUAUGUGUGGACGGGAUAAGUGCUGAAAGCAUCUAAGCAUGAAGCCCCCCUCAAGAUGAGAUUUCCCAACUUCGGUUAUAAGAUCCCUCAAAGAUGAUGAGGUUAAUAGGUUCGAGGUGGAAGCAUGGUGACAUGUGGAGCUGACGAAUACUAAUCGAUCGAAGACUUAAUCAA